GCUGUUGGUAACUACUGAAGUCUGAGGCUACUAGUAUUGUGUUGGAUUGUCCUGUGGCAACUAUAUUUCGACGCUGUGGCCUGAGUGAGGCACUUUCCUCCGACGUGGGAUACUGCACAGAUAGACUGAUGCCUCAGACAAAGGGAUCUCUGGCAUUCUUAGCCAGUGUGUGAAUGGUAUGUUGCAUCCUAUAAAAUUUGUGAGCCGUAAGUUGUUGCCUCGGGAGCAGAAGUAUUCUAUCAUUGAACGGGAAGGAUUGGCCAUUGUAUAUGCAAUAAAAAAAUUGGACAGGUAUCUGGCCGGAAAAAAAUUUCAUCUCCAGACUGACCACAAGGCUUUAUCUUACCUUAGGAGCACUAACUUUACCAAUGCACGUAUUACAAGAUGGGCGCUGAUGUUGCAGGAUUAUUCCUUUGAUGUUGUUCAUGCCAAAGGGGAGGACAAUCUGCUUGCUGAUCUGUGUUCAAGAUUACUAUAGACUUUCAAAUACGCAGCUACAUGAGCUACAUACUUAUGUAUUGUUUUUAUACAUGUCUUAUGCAUUUUAUGGUUCCAAUGUAUACAUUGUUGUUUGAAAAUGUUUGCACUUUAUGUUAGAUGAUAUUAUGUUGCAUUUAGUAUUAUUGACAUAAAUUUGCUGAUUAUGCAUUUUAAAUUUGAUUGGUUGGUAGAUUGUGAUUUUGUGAAUGGUUCAUAGUGUCAUGUGGAUACUUUGGUAAAAAGUGUCAUUGGUAAUUUUUCUUCUAAGUUGUUAUGUUUGGAAGAGUGAUGUUAAUGCGGAUGAAUGUUCCCUAGCUGGAUGUGCUUACCUUGUAGCUGCAAUGAUAUCUUCUUACUUUUCUUUCAGUUUGAGGUACGGAAACUGGUCCAUACUUUGUAAGAACCAGUUUGGGGGGAGAGGGGGAAUGUCGGUGCGUAGAUUAUGGCAUUCUAGCACCAAUGUGUAUUAAGUGCACUAUUUUUGAACGCACUUUCUUUUUGUUGCCUUGCUUGUAAGUUAAUGGAGUGUUUUUGUUCUGCUGGUGUAACGUUUGUUGAGAUUCUUCUGUGUUCCCCUGUUUAGGGUGAGUAUCUAAGGCAUAACUGCGUUUCGCAGUUGUUUCGAUGCCAUAGUGAUAGUCUACUAGACCUUUCUAGUUUGUCUUUACUUUGUCUUUACAGGGAGUUAGCUUGGGAUUGGAAGUCUACGCUGGUGACUAAAGACAGCAGUGUCAGAGUGUGUUGUGUUUCGAACAUUAAUGUGUACGUUGUGGGACAGCAAGGGGUAGAAUUAUUAUUUAAUUAAUAAAUUCACAGUAUUAAAAUGUUCCAAAUUCAAUGUCAUUACUCCAUUAGUUUGUCAUCAUACUUAUAUUUAUAUCAUUAAAUAUUUACAUUGUUA